UUGUUUUUUAUUCUGAGUGACA
rnacentral:miRNA from 1 species